AUUGAACGCUGGCGGCAGGCCUAACACAUGCAAGUCGAGCGGUAGAGAGAAGCUUGCUUCUCUUGAGAGCGGCGGACGGGUGAGUAAUGCCUAGGAAUCUGCCUGGUAGUGGGGGAUAACGUCCGGAAACGGACGCUAAUACCGCAUACGUCCUACGGGAGAAAGCAGGGGACCUUCGGGCCUUGCGCUAUCAGAUGAGCCUAGGUCGGAUUAGCUAGUUGGUGAGGUAAUGGCUCACCAAGGCGACGAUCCGUAACUGGUCUGAGAGGAUGAUCAGUCACACUGGAACUGAGACACGGUCCAGACUCCUACGGGAGGCAGCAGUGGGGAAUAUUGGACAAUGGGCGAAAGCCUGAUCCAGCCAUGCCGCGUGUGUGAAGAAGGUCUUCGGAUUGUAAAGCACUUUAAGUUGGGAGGAAGGGCAGUAAGCUAAUACCUUGCUGUUUCGACGUUACCAACAGAAUAAGCACCGGCUAACUUCGUGCCAGCAGCCGCGGUAAAAC
rnacentral:rRNA from 1 species